CCCUUAGAUGUUCUGGGCCGCACGCGCGCUACACUGAUGCAUUCAACGAGCCUAUCCUUGACCGACAGGUCCGGGUAAUCUUUGAAUCUGCAUCGUGACGGGGAUAGAUUAUUGCAAUUAUUAAUCUUCAACGAGGAAUGCCCAGUAGGCGCAAGUCAUCAGCUUGCGUCGAUUACGUCCCUGCCCUUUGUACACACCGCCCGUCGCUCCUACCGAUUGGGUGUGCUGGUGAAAUGUUCGGAUCGGCCGUUUGUCGCGGUUUCCGCGGCUCGUGGCUGAGAAGUUCAUUAAACCCUCCCACCUAGAGGAAGGAGAAGUCGUAACA
rnacentral:rRNA from 1 species